UUGUGAUGUCAUACAUGAAUGCAAUGUAUUUUGAUCACAUCCACCCCUCAGAUCCUCAGUUGGAGGGGGCUCCAACUCCCUCUGAGCUCCCUCCCCUUGUGUCUCCUUUUCUCUAGGCCACGGAGUCCAAUUAGUGAUGCUGGUAAAUGUGUGGGUGUGGGGCCAGCCCCACAGCAUGGACAAUGCACCAGUGGCCACAGCCCUGAAGAAAACUCACCCUCCCUCCACACUGCAUCAGUCAGCAGCAGCCAGCAGCUCCUCAGAUAGGGGUGGUGCCUUGUGAGUCCCCCCCCCCCCGGGGCUGGGGUGUUAACUGCCUCAACCUCAUGCAGACAACCAGAGCUGCUGUGAGUCGUGAGUACAGCCAUUCUGCCAUGUCCACAAGACUCUUUCACAACCAACCUCUCCAGCCUCUGGCUCUUACAAUUCUUCUGCCCCAUCUUGUGUGAUGGCCCCUGGAUGUCACUUAUAUUUUGUUCAGGGACAGCAGACAUGUUUGAAACAGGGUGUGUUGGUGUAGUCAACAAAUUGUUCUAUUCAGCAUGGAGAAUAGACAUCAUAGACAUCAGAGAAUGCCCAUCAUAAUAUGGCUUGCAUAGAAAACCGAUGAUCGAAUAAUGUUUAGCUGAUACUGUUAGCAUUUUAUUGAGAUCAACUGGGUUGGUGACCUGUCAUUCAAGAGCCUGAGUCCCCAGGGUCAUCCCUGGAGGACUGGAGGGGUGCAUGGUUCCUCCCCUCAGGUCUCCUGUGCUGUCCAUUCCCAUGAUAAGUCACAAACAUGGGGACGCUCAGAGAAGUGUGGUAUAUGAUCCUUGCUCCAAGAGACUGAGGCAGGAGCAUUAGACUUUAAGACAUCCCCAGCCACUUAAUGAGUUGAAGAUCAGUUGAAGAUCAGCCUGGGCUACCAGAGACGGCGGUUUCUCCAAAAAGAAAAACAGAAUCAUGAGCCGAGGAAGCCCACAUGUAGGACAGCUUCAUCAAGAGAAGACUGACCACCCAGAUCAGGGCGUAAACAUGUAUUCAUAAACGCCAGGUAGAAUUCGUCAACGUGGCUUACAAUGGCAUCGACUAGCUGCCAGUGAUGUUUCAUUGCAUGUAAGGAAAAAAGCAAGUUGAAGAACAUUAUUUAUAAUAUGUUCUGAAGUAUACAGAAUUUAACCUGACUGCCAUUAAAUCUGCUUAGAUACAUAUUUCAAAAAAAAAAAAAAAAGCAUCCAGAAACGCACAUGAGGAGCUGUGAGCGUUUGUUCCCAUUGCUUACCCGUUAGUCCUUUCUUCUCUGUUGUUUAAAGGAAGAAGGAAAAAACCAUGUCUUUCUUCUACGACUCACCUUGGCUUUUCUUACUUACAGUGGUCCAUGCUGGCGGUCCCAGCUACUCAGCAAGAGGUAGGAGAAAUCUCCAGAGUUCAAAGGGCAGCCUGAGAAAGGCAUCAACACAGCCUGAGCCCCUGAAAACACCUCCCCCGUCCAGCAUGACUGGAUGUAAGGAUUUGGGAUUCAGGCAGCAUUUGCUACCCCAAAACUUCAAUUUUAAAACAAUUAAGUAGAAAGCCUGGGUUCAAGUCCACUUCUGCUCCCAUGAGUCCACUUAAGCUACCCUCCCUCCUCUUCUAUGUUAAUCUACAGAAUGAGGCUUAAAGUAAAUGCAUGAUCUACACAGAUGUGUCCUCUGAGGGACGAACGAAGGCAGAGUGUGGCGUCAUUCUGCACGAGUUCUGACUACUUACUGCUGUUGCAGAUGAUGGCACAGAGAAGUGUACAAGACGUUAAAUGUCUACAGAUGGAAAUUAGUCUGUAUUAAAGGGUUCUGCGCUACACAUAAGAACUGACUGCUCCCAAAAUCUUUCCAGAAGGCUGGCACAUGAGGUAGGCUCUCCAAGGAGAAAAACAAGAGGCUGCCAAAAUGGCCUGUGGAGAAGGAAAGAGUGUCCACCAUGUGUGAAUCAGACUGCUAACAAAGUAACAGACAGCAUCCAGCCAGUCACACACACCACCUACAACCCUAGGGCACUUUGGAAAAGAACCCCUUCUUUCCCAAACCUGCUAUAAAUGCAAAGAAAAUAAGCUAAAAUAAAAACAUUUGACCAAAAUGGCUCCUCAAUUGGUGCCCCAAAGUGUGACCACGAGUGUCCUUCAGAGCAUCCAUACCUCCCUGAUCAACAUCGAUAAGUUCCAAGACAGCUCAGAAGCACUUAAAGGUAUAGGAAGCACUGCCCUGGAAGGUUCCCUGAGACCUCCGGACGCAGUUAUGUCGAGGAAGCCCUGACCUUGAAACUACCUCAGUCCAGACAUGAGAGUGCUUACUGCAGCCUGUCCCACAGCGGCAACACGGUCUGUCCAUAAUCAAUGGCGUGCCGUUAUUGCUAUUGCUACAUGAGGAAACUCCUUAGUUUAGUGGCUUUACCAGUUUCUCCUAACUAAUAACUUGGCAGAAACUCACACGUCAACCACCCAGUUUUAUUUGUAGAGAGAAUCUCUUAGAAGCAUCACCUGUCAAUAAAAAAAGCCUAUGGCCAAUGAGCUGAGGCAGGCAAGAGGAGGUGGGAGGGACAAUGGCAGGAAGAGAGGAUUCUGGGAAAUAGUGAGAGAAUAAAAGGGAGACUUGUCCAGGGAGCCGGACAUAAAUCACCAGCAAGUAGCUGCACUGAGGACAGCAUAAAGGGAGAGAUUUGAAGGAGAUUGGCGAGAAACACUGAGGGAGACAACACUGAGGGAAACUUGAGAAGGACGCUGAGGGAGACACUGAGGGAGAAGAGAGCUGAGACUGAAGGAGAGGGAUACAUAUUAUCAUACACAGAGAGAUUUAUGCACAUACAGAUGGAUACAUGAUUGACGGGCGUUAAAUAUCCCUGCAAGGGUUGAGCAACAGGGUCUGUAUCUGGGAAGAGGAAAGAAACCCAGGCUUGCAUGUCCUUCUAUGCUAUCUUCAGUUUCUUAAAUUCCUGCUCAUGGAUGUAUAUCAUCUAACCCAUAGUCAUCUGUCCAAAAUGAAUCAAAUUUAAAUGCUAAGGCAUGGAUGAAGCUUAAAACUCUAAGGAGAAAAAACACUGAUCAGACUCCCAGACCCUGACACAUCCUGUCUAAGCAGGUCCUGGUUUAGAGAACACCAGCAGCCAGCGUGGGGGUGGAUCAGCCUGUUUGGAGCACGUGAGACACUUAAACACUGGAAAUGAAGAUACAGCAUCACAGCAGACCCCAAAGCCACUGUGGUCAAGCCUGAGGCAGAGUUAACUUUCCCCUGAUCCUUAACAGGCUACCUGACCCUACAAAAUUCCUCUCCUGUGACCCUACAAAAGUCCCUUACUGUGACUCUCCUCUGGUCCCUGCCGCUCAUUCCGUUUCCCUGCCAAUACAUCAUUCCCCUCUCCUUAUAUUUUCUAGAAUCUUCUAUCUGCCCUUUGGCUCUGCCCCAAACUUCAUUUUGAGGAAUAUAUGGCAGGCAAUCCAAAUUGAUGCCAUAACUAUCCCUGAUUUUUGGUCCGCCCCUCUCAUCUGCAUUUUCAAGGUCCUGCCUUUCAGUGGGGUCCUCCACUCUCACCAGGCAUCGUAUGUUUGUUGAUGUGUUCUCUGGGCUUGCUCAGCAUCCAUUGUCUCCCCCUCUGGUACUUGACAUAAGAUCUGUGGAAAGCAAGGCCUCUCCCAUCGGUGCUCAUGGACUUCUAUUUUGUUUAGUCAGUUUGCUUUGU
rnacentral:lncRNA from 1 species